CCCCAUGGCCUCAUGAGAAGCCUCUGCAUUCCUGAGAACACGCAUGAAGUCAGGUGCAGCUGUUCCGCUGGUUUUUCAUGAUGACAACUGUUGAUUACACCUAAGGCGCUGUGUGGAACACCUGGGCUAGAAGCUGCACCCGUGGAAAGCUCACACCAAAAAUCCACAUGGGCUGGGCACUGACAGAAAUUUCUUGAUAAGCCACUGGACUGGAUAGAGAGACUCUGAAGACAAAGUUUUCAGCUGGACCCCCGCUGGCGAAAAAGGAAAAAUUUUAACUCUUGCUCUCGAGAAGAGAAAGGAUGAAAGAACUGGAAAGAAGACAAAAAAUAGAGAAAAAAGGGGGAAGACAGGGCGCCAGUAAGAUGAUACCACAAAGCUCCCGGGCAAGGGGCGGACUUGAACGCGACCUGCACUCUCAAGCCCAGGGGCAGCCCCACACCCUCAGCCCGUGGGGAUUCAGAGGUGAGAGGGGCUGCCUUUUCUAAUGGCCCCGUGACAGCCUUCACUUGCCCUUGUUCUGAGGAGAAUUCGAGCAACACUGAGACUCUGGAACGCCUGCUCAGCCAUGGGUCCCUGCCUGGCUCUGGCUCUCCAAAUAAGACCUUUGUAGAACCCUUUUAGUUAUUUUUACAAUAAACUUC